rnacentral:rRNA from 1 species
AGAGACAGCAGUCGCCACGGUAAUACGUAGGGUGCAAGCGUUAAUCGGAAUUACUGGGCGUAAAGCGUGCGCAGGCGGUUAUAUAAGACAGAUGUGAAAUCCCCGGGCUCAACCUGGGAACUGCAUUUGUGACUGUAUAGCUAGAGUACGGCAGAGGGGGAUGGAAUUCCGCGUGUAGCAGUGAAAUGCGUAGAUAUGCGGAGGAACACCGAUGGCGAAGGCAAUCCCCUGGGCCUGUACUGACGCUCAUGCACGAAAGCGUGGGGAGCAAACAGGAUUAGAUACCCCCGUAGUCCCUGUCUCUUAUAC